rnacentral:rRNA from 1 species
AAUCCUCCACAAUGGACGGAAGUCUGAUGGAGCAACGCCGCGUGAGCGAAGAAGGUUUUCGGAUCGUAAAGCUCUGUUGUAAGGGAAGCAUACGUCAAGGAGUCACUCUCUGUACCUUGACGGUACCUUACCAGAAAGCGACGGCUAACUACGUGCCAGCAGCCGCGGUAAUACGUAGGUGGCAAGCGUUGUCCGGAAUUCUUGGGCGUAAAGCGCGCGCAGGCGGUCCUUUAAGUCUGAUGUGAAAGCCCACGGCUCAACCGUGGAGGGUCAUUGGAAACUGGAGGACUUGAGUACAGAAGAGGAAAGCGGAAUUCCACGUGUAGCGGUGAAAUGCGUAGAGAUGUGGAGGAACACCAGUGGCGAAGGCGGCUUUCUGGUCUGUAACUGACGCUGAGGCGCGAAAGCGUGGGGAGCAAAC